AUCGGGACCUUGCUGAGGCCCACAGCCACUGCCAAGUUGUUCCGGAAGCUAGUCUCGAGGCCCUGAAGGCCCAGGUCACCAAGCUUCAAGGCGAGAAGGAGCAGCUUCUCAAGGAGCACAACGAGGCGCUGGAGGCCCAGAAGACCGCCCUGG